rnacentral:rRNA from 1 species
AAGGGCGAUCAUGCUGAAGGGGUUCACCCGUUCCCAUUCCGAAUACGGUAGUUAAGCCCUUCAAGGCCGAUGGUACUCCUCGGGCAACUGAGCGGGAGAGUAGGUAAUCGCCCACU